AUUGAACGCUGGCGGCAGGCCUAACACAUGCAAGUCGAACGGUAACAGGAAGCAGCUUGCUGCUUCGCUGACGAGUGGCGGACGGGUGAGUAAUGUCUGGGAAACUGCCUGAUGGAGGGGGAUAACUACUGGAAACGGUAGCUAAUACCGCAUAACGUCGCAAGACCAAAGAGGGGGACCUUAGGGCCUCUUGCCAUCGGAUGUGCCCAGAUGGGAUUAGCUAGUAGGUGGGGUAACGGCUCACCGAGGCAACGAUCCCUAGCUGGUCUGAGAGGAUGACCAGCCAAACUGGAACUGAGACACGGUCCAGACUCGUACGGGAGGCAGCGGUGGGAAAUAUUGCCCAAUGGGCGAAAGCCUGAUGCAGCCAUGCCGCGUGUAUGAAGAAGGCCUUCGGGUUGUAAAGUACUUUCAGCGGGGAGGAAGGGAGUAAAGUUAAUACCUUUGCUCAUUGACGUUACCCGCAGAAGAAGCACCGGCUAACUCCGU
rnacentral:rRNA from 1 species